AGCUACACAUGCAAGUCGAACGGCAGCACAGAAGAGCUUGCUCUUUGGGUGGCGAGUGGCGGACGGGUGAGUAAUGUCUGGGAAACUGCCCGAUGGAGGGGGAUAACUACUGGAAACGGUAGCUAAUACCGCAUAACGUCGCAAGACCAAAGUGGGGGACCUUCGGGCCUCACACCAUCGGAUGUGCCCAGAUGGGAUUAGCUAGUAGGUGGGGUAAUGGCUCACCUAGGCGACGAUCCCUAGCUGGUCUGAGAGGAUGACCAGCCACACUGGAACUGAGACACGGUCCAGACUCCUACGGGAGGCAGCAGUGGGGAAUAUUGCACAAUGGGCGCAAGCCUGAUGCAGCCAUGCCGCGUGUAUGAAGAAGGCCUUCGGGUUGUAAAGUACUUUCAGCGGGGAGGAAGGCGGUGAGGUUAAUAACCUUGCCGAUUGACGUUACCCGCAGAAGAAGCACCGGCUAACUCCGUGCCAGCAGCCGCGGUAAUACGGAGGGUGCAAGCGUUAAUCGGAAUUACUGGGCGUAAAGCGCACGCAGGCGGUCUGUUAAGUCAGAUGUGAAAUCCCCGGGCUUAACCUGGGAACUGCAUUUGAAACUGGCAGGCUUGAGUCUCGUAGAGGGGGGUAGAAUUCCAGGUGUAGCGGUGAAAUGCGUAGAGAUCUGGAGGAAUACCGGUGGCGAAGGCGGCCCCCUGGACGAAGACUGACGCUCAGGUGCGAAAGCGUGGGGAGCAAACAGGAUUAGAUACCCUGGUAGUCCACGCCGUAAACGAUGUCGACUUGGAGGUUGUGCCCUUGAGGCGUGGCUUCCGGAGCUAACGCGUUAAGUCGACCGCCUGGGGAGUACGGCCGCAAGGUUAAAACUCAAAUGAAUUGACGGGGGCCCGCACAAGCGGUGGAGCAUGUGGUUUAAUUCGAUGCAACGCGAAGAACCUUACCUGGCCUUGACAUCCAGAGAACUUAGCAGAGAUGCUUUGGUGCCUUCGGGAACUCUGAGACAGGUGCUGCAUGGCUGUCGUCAGCUCGUGUUGUGAAAUGUUGGGUUAAGUCCCGCAACGAGCGCAACCCUUAUCCUUUGUUGCCAGCGGUUCGGCCGGGAACUCAAAGGAGACUGCCGGUGAUAAACCGGAGGAAGGUGGGGAUGACGUCAAGUCAUCAUGGCCCUUACGGCCAGGGCUACACACGUGCUACAAUGGCGCAUACAAAGAGAAGCGACCUCGCGAGAGCAAGCGGACCUCAUAAAGUGCGUCGUAGUCCGGGAUUGGAGUCUGCAACUCGACUCCAUGAAGUCGGAAUCGCUAGUAAUCGUAGAUCAGAAUGCUACGGUGAAUACGUUCCCGGGCCUUGUACACACCGCCCGUCACACCAUGGGAGUGGGUUGCAAAAGAAGUAGGUAGCUUAACC
rnacentral:rRNA from 1 species